AUUAAGCAACUAUGAGAUAGUAAAGAAUCUGAUUUCAAAUGAGCUCUGCAGGAGCCUAAAUUUUGUGCAUUGCGAUCUUCCCCAUUUUGGAAACUUGUUUAGCUUGAUUUUAAGCCAUGAGUACGGCCCAGUUUCUCAGCGUUCAUCCUUCAGAGCUCAAAUUCCCAUUUGAAUUGAGGAAGCAGAGUUCUUGCACUGUGCAACUGACCAACAAGACUAAUGAUUAUGUUGCUUUUAAGGUUAAGACAACAAACCCUAAGAAGUAUUGUGUCCGUCCCAAUAGUGGUAUCAUUUCGCCAGGGUCGUCUUCCAGCUUUAUAGUCACAAUGCAAGCCUGGGAAGAGGCACCACCAAGUAUGCAGUGCAAGGACAAGUUUCUCCUCCAAAGUGUUAUUGCGCCUAAUGGUGCCACCAAGAAAGAUACAAGCCCAGAACUGUUUAGUAAGGCAGAUGGGAAGGUUGUUGAGGAGUUUAGAUUGAGAGUUGUGUAUAUUCUUGCUAAUCCCCCAUCACCUGUUCCUGAAGGAUCAGAAGAAGAUUCUUCACCCAUGGCAAAUCAUGUCGAGGGUGGAAAUCAAAAUGCUGCUUCGUUUGAUGGGUUAACAGGCUCUCUAGAAGAACCAAAAGAGAAGCCUGCAUCUGCAGAGGUAUGGUCCAUGGUUUCCAGGCUGACUGAUGAAAAAGCUUCUGCUAUUGAACAAAAUCAGGAGCUUCGUCAGGAGUUGGAAAUGCUGCGGAAAGAAACGGGCAAAAGUAAUAUUGGGGGAUCGUAUAUUUUAUUGGUGGUGCUGAUCGGUUUGCUAGGGUUUCUUGUGAGCUACCUCAUUAAUUAAGACACAUUAGAGGCUGGUGCUCUAUUAGUCAUUCGGGAUGCCUAUUGAAAAAUGAGUGUUCAAGAUGUCUCCACGCUGAAAGUUCAGAUUCGGAACAUUCAUACAGAUUUUCUGAUUCUGAAACUUGUGAAAGUGACGAGGAUGUUGAAGAGGAGAUCAAUAAUGGUGUUGACGUUGAUUCGGGUGCAAGAUGCUUUAUUUAAAAAAAAAAUGAUUUUAGUUGUUGUAUCCAUAUGAUUGGUUCUACUAGUCAGUUUCUAAACAAUGCUGUGCAUUUGGGAUGCCUUGAAAAUUUGAGUUAGA